rfam:Homo sapiens chromosome 11, GRCh38 reference primary assembly.
UCUACAGCCAUACCACCCUGAACGCACCCGAUCUCAUCUGAUCUCGCUAGCAGGGUCGGUCCUGGUUAGUACUUGGAUGGGAGAAUUGGGAGUAAGAAGAA